rnacentral:rRNA from 1 species
CUUUGUCUUUAUGGCAAAUGUGAGAUGCAGUGUAUGGAAUGUCAAAUUUCUAGUAUGAGAAAUUAACGAUUUAAGUCCUUCUUAAAUGAGGCCAUUUACCCAUAGAGGGUGCCAGGCCCGUAUAACGUUAAUGAUUACUAGAUGGCAUUUCCAAAGAGUCGUGUUGCUUGAUAGUGCAGCACUAAGUGGGUGGUAAACUCCAUCUAAAACUAAAUAUAACCAUGAGACCGAUAGUAAACAAGUACCGUGAGGGAAAGUUGAAAAGAACUCUGAAUAGAGAGUUAAAUAGUACGUGAAACUGCUUAGAGGUUAAGCCCGAUGAACCUGAAUAUCCAUUAUAGAAAAUUCAUCAUUAUGAUUUUAAUAUUAAUAAUAUUAUAAUAAUGGUGUGCAUUUUUUCUAUAACGGACAUUGUAAUCUAUUAACAUAAAUAUAUUUAUCAUAAGAUCAAUGAUGCGUAAGUUUAUUCAAAUUAUUUUGCUUGCAAUUUAACAUAGAAUAAAUGCUCUUGAUUUGAUAAAGUGUUGAUAGAUUUAUUGUAUAUAGUGCUUAAAUAUUUAUAUUUUAUAAUAGCAUAUUAAUCAUUGAUUUUUAUGUUUAUUAUAUGCACUUAUAUGAUUAACAAUGCGAAAGAUUCAGGAUACCUUCGGGACCCGUCUUGAAACACGGACCAAGGAGUCUAACAUAUUUGCAAGUUAUUGGGUAUCAAAACCUAAUAGCGAAAUUAACAUAACUUUAAUGGGAUUAGUUUUUAGAUUAUUUAUAGUCUAUUAAUUCAAUCCCGGGGCGUUCUAUACAGUUAUGUAUAAUAAUAUUUAUAUUAUUUAUACCUCUAACUAGAGCGUACCUUGAGCAUAUAUGCUGUGACCCGAAAGAUGGUGAACUAUACUUGAUCAGGUUGAAGUCAGGGGAAACCCUGAUGGAAGACCGAAACAGUUCUGACGUGCAAAUCGAUUGUCAGAAUUGAGUAUAG